GGGCUAUUAGCUCAGGUGGUUAGAGCACACCCCUGAUAUGGGUGAGGUCCCUGGUUCGAGUCCAGGAUGGCCCA
rnacentral:tRNA from 1 species